CAAAACCUAUAGUGUAUUUUUAUUUUAUUUAUUUCAUAUGAAGAAUGCAUACUUGUAAAAUCAAAUUGCUGUAAAAAAUAAGCUUGCUUUUUUUUUUUUUUCUCUUCAGUUCAAUAAGACUGGGAUUGUAAUAUGUGAAUCAGACAAAGUACACAAAAUAGUAGCUCUGAGUUUCUCCAAACCUGGGUUGCAUGCUGUACAACAAAUCAUUCGGUGUCUUCCCUCUUCUUUGCGUGGCUCCACUGUGUAUUUGUCCAGGAAACCAUGUGCAACUUGUACCACAUUCCUCAUUCAAGGUUCAGUUACUUCAGUCUAUUACUGGCCAGUGGCUCCUGAAAAAAAGGGAGAUGAUUCGGUGGUUAAGGAAGAUAUUGAACAAGCUGACUGUAUGUUUCUUAGAAGUCAUACAAGUAGCAGCGUGCUCCUACCUGUAACAAGCUUUGAAACUGUGAAAAAGAUUGCAAAUAAAAUACGAUGCAAAGGACCGCUGGACAACAAUUUUAAGUUGCUCGAUGAUCAAACUGAAGACUUUAAAAAAUAUUGUUCACUGUUUAACAUAGAUAGCUGCCAAGAUCCGUGUGUCAAACGGAUGGAAAAUGCUUUUCGUUGCUAUAAUUUUUUACUGGAAUGUUCCCAACUUGAGAAAAAAGGACUGGAGGAAAGUGUUCAUCAACAUGCAUUGCAGUUUUGUUAUUUUUUAGCAGCAAGAUCUGAUGAUCCAAACCGAGGCGUGGGGUGUACACUCUACAGUCAGGAUGGAUAUUUUUUUGGGGCAGGUUAUAAUGGAUACCCUAUUGGCAUAUUAUAUGCAAACUUGCCCUCUAUCGGGAGGAAAAACCGAAGGACUCAAGUUGCAAAAGGGGAGGUUGUUCUCCACGCUGAAGCAAAUGUUCUCCUGUACAGGUUAUUGUUACAAAUCUAGUAAUGGAGUGA
ensembl:lncRNA